AGAGCAACCAACUGAAACUAUGCCUGUGAUAGGCACACCGCACACCAAUAUGAUCCUUCACUCUGCAGGACUGGAAAAUAAAAAAUUUAGGAGCAUAUGGGAAGUGAUUACCUCCUCGACAACUGAGACUGUAUCCGUCAACAUCGCUCUCGACCCACAAAGCCGUGGCGAUGGCUGUGCCAAGCUCAACAUGCCCAUCGAGCUAUUGCACCACCUUUCACAGGGAUGGAAGACUAAGACUAUCACCGAAGCCGCAGGUGCCCUACUGAAGGUCCCCACUCAAGCAAGGAGCAGUGCCAUCCGCGGACCCAUCCUCGCCACAUAAUGCCUCCAAAGAAGACCAUAAGCAUUCCUUCAUCUGACGAAGAGGACAACAAUGCAUCUUAUCGACUAUCUCAGCAAAGUACGGCUAAUUUUGGUAAUCAGCUGCACUGUCGUUCUGAACCACCAAGCUCUCCAUCCACUACGGAGCACCAUAACCACAGAAUCGCCACUCCCACCUGAUAGCCCAUAUAUAUCAGGAUAUGCUCUGCUUUUGUCAUAUGAAUUUUGCUACUCUAUAGAUAAUCGGUAGAUGGCACCAAGUAUCUAUCGAUGAGUAGGAAUCAUGUAGUAUGUAAAUGCAGCAAAACCAAAGAAUGUACUAUGUAAUGCAUAUCUAUAUCUUACGAUGCUUUCUGUUUGUAUCCAUAUCAAUAAGCACUUUUCUGCAA